AUUGAACGCUGGCGGCAGGCUUAACACAUGCAAGUCGAGCGGGGGAGGUUGCUUCGGUAACUGACCUAGCGGCGGACGGGUGAGUAAUGCUUAGGAAUCUGCCUAUUAGUGGGGGACAACAUUCCGAAAGGGAUGCUAAUACCGCAUACGCCCUACGGGGGAAAGCAGGGGAUCUUCGGACCUUGCGCUAAUAGAUGAGCCUAAGUCGGAUUAGCUAGUUGGUGGGGUAAAGGCCUACCAAGGCGACGAUCUGUAGCGGGUCUGAGAGGAUGAACCGCCACACUGGGACUGGGACACGGCCCAGACUCCUACGGGAGGCAGCAGUGGGGAAUAUUGGACAAUGGGCGGAAGCCUGAUCCAGCCAUGCCGAGUGUGUGAAGAAGGCCUUUUGGUUGUAAAGCACUUUAAGCGAGGAGGAGGCUCUUAAGGUUAAUACCCUUGAUGAGUGGACGUUACUCGCAGAAUAAGCACCGGCUAACUCUGUGCCAGCCGCCGCAGUAACAC
rnacentral:rRNA from 1 species